rnacentral:lncRNA from 1 species
AUUAUCAAAGAUAAGAAGACCAAAGACUAUUGAAAUAAGACUAAAAAUAAGAAAGAUAUUGAUAAGAAAGAAGAAGUCCUCACUCUUACUUUCAUAUAUACUAUGUAAUUAAAAAUUACAUGACAACAUUCUAUAGGACGUCCAAUAGGUAUCUAUCUUGCUAGAUACAUGUCUAACUUAUAAGAUUUCUUAUAUAUAUGCCACAUGAUAUUAAAGACAUGAAUUUCAAAAGACUAAAAAUUCAAUAUAUUCUUAUGUCAUUCAAAAAGACUAGAAAAUCAUUCAAAGAUGGUAUAAUAUUAAACUAAAA